UCUUGGAGUUCUAGCUCACCUUUCUGGUGUUGUUCUUGUACUCAUCUGUUUAAUCUAGUUCUGCCACUUCUUCUUGAACUUCUUGUUAGAUUUCAAGUCUGUAUUUUGUGUCCGUGACAGGUACAGAGAUUCUGCAGCAAGAAGAUAAAAGUGAUUUGGAUAAUGAAGGUGACGACAACAAACUAGACAAAGACGUAGAGGAUAUAUGCUGAAUUUAACAGCAAUUGGGUAAAUUGGUGCGUACCGGAG
rnacentral:lncRNA from 1 species